CAACGUGAACAAUGACCAACUCUGUUCGGUGUUCACACUUCACAGAAAAGUUCAAAUAAUUUAUUUGUGUGAUUAAAAUGAGUUUGAGAUUGCAGAGAUUGACGUGGUUAGUCAAUUUGACAAGAUGAAGAAGAUUCUUCACCUGAGCCAACACGACAUUGAAGAGGAAUACCAAACGGAAAUCGUCAUCAAAGUGGAGGUAGCAGGUUUCACUUAGUAUACUCCUAUCGAAAACCGGAAGGCGACGUUAGCCGAUGGCCUCAACUCAACUACACAAAAUGCAUAUGUUCAUGAAAGGACCCCACGGCAUUUACUUCGCAAUCCAGCAGUGAUCAACUUGUGUUUUCAGUGUUCCAGCGUCAAGACACACACCCCCCACUAAAACGGAAGACCCAUCCCAUCACUCGACAUUCGAAGAUGGCCGGAGCUGAAAGGAGGACGACAUUUUGGGUCGGCCUGGCUCUCAUGGGCGUUCGAUUCGGCCCUUUAGCCCGUCUUACUUGGGAGGAAAACAGCUGGGAUAAUAUGGAACCCAUUACGUAAUUGUUGGCUGUUUAGUCAUAAUCCAAAUAUUGAAGCCCUCAUCAGUUCCAAUUCUUUGCUGCCACUAUAUUAAAGUGGACUGUGAGUGAGUGUGUGUGCCACUCUAGAGGUUGCAGAAAUCACCAAAAUAACUUCUCAUUUAAGAGUUAUAAGACGAUCUAGGAUUGAUUGUUUUGAGUUGAAUCCUUUACCGCUAUUCCAAAGACUUGAUUCUUUGGUGAAACUGAGGAGAGAAUGCUGUAAUUCAAGACUGACCGAUAAAUUGUGUAGUUAGAUUAAAUUAAAAGUGCAUAUCUGGGCUCCCUUCUUUUCUGUGGCCCCGUUUCCCUAACUAACCAGUAACCAACGC